rnacentral:rRNA from 1 species
CAGUAGCCGCGGUAAUACGUAGGUCCCGAGCGUUGUCCGGAUUUAUUGGGCGUAAAGCGAGCGCAGGCGGUUAGAUAAGUCUGAAGUUAAAGGCUGUGGCUUAACCAUAGUACGCUUUGGAAACUGUUUAACUUGAGUGCAAGGGGGGAGAGUGAAAUUCCAUGUGUAGCGGUGAAAUGCGUAGAUAUAUGGAGGAACACCGGUGGCGAAAGCGGCUCUCUGGCUUGUAACUGACGCUGAGGCUCGAAAGCGUGGGGAGCAAACAGGAUUAGAUACCCGUGUAGUCCCUGUCUCUUAUACC